rnacentral:rRNA from 1 species
AACGAUGGAAGCUUGCUUCCAGGCGUCGAGCGGCGGACGGGUGAGUAAUGCAUAGGAAUCUGCCCGAUAGUGGGGGAUAACGUGGGGAAACUCACGCUAAUACCGCAUACGUCCUACGGGAGAAAGCAGGGGAUCUUCGGACCUUGCGCUAUCGGAUGAGCCUAUGUCGGAUUAGCUAGUUGGUGAGGUAACGGCUCACCAAGGCGACGAUCCGUAGCUGGUCUGAGAGGAUGAUCAGCCACACUGGGACUGAGACACGGCCCAGACUCCUACGGGAGGCAGCAGUGGGGAAUAUUGGACAAUGGGGGAAACCCUGAUCCAGCCAUGCCGCGUGUGUGAAGAAGGCCUUCGGGUUGUAAAGCACUUUCAGCGAGGAAGAAGGCCUGAGGGCUAAUACCCUUCAGGAAGGACAUCACUCGCAGAAGAAGCACCGGCUAACUCCGUGCCAGCAGCCGCGGUAAUACGGAGGGUGCGAGCGUUAAUCGGAAUUACUGGGCGUAAAGCGCGCGUAGGUGGCUUGAUAAGCCGGUUGUGAAAGCCCCGGGCUCAACCUGGGAACGGCAUCCGGAACUGUCAGGCUAGAGUGCAGGAGAGGAAGGUAGAAUUCCCGGUGUAGCGGUGAAAUGCGUAGAGAUCGGGAGGAAUACCAGUGGCGAAGGCGGCCUUCUGGACUGACACUGACACUGAGGUGCGAAAGCGUGGGUAGCAAACAGGAUUAGAUACCCUGGUAGUCCACGCCGUAAACGAUGUCGACUAGCCGUUGGGUUCCUUGAGAACUUUGUGGCGCAGUUAACGCGAUAAGUCGACCGCCUGGGGAGUACGGCCGCAAGGUUAAAACUCAAAUGAAUUGACGGGGGCCCGCACAAGCGGUGGAGCAUGUGGUUUAAUUCGAUGCAACGCGAAGAACCUUACCUACCCUUGACAUCGUGCGAACUUGCCAGAGAUGCAUUGGUGCCUUCGGGAACGCACAGACAGGUGCUGCAUGGCUGUCGUCAGCUCGUGUUGUGAAAUGUUGGGUUAAGUCCCGUAACGAGCGCAACCUUGUCCUAUUUGCCAGCGAUUCGGU